rnacentral:rRNA from 1 species
UACGGAAGGCAGCAGUGGGGAAUAUUGCACAAUGGGCGCAAGCCUGAUGCAGCCAUGCCGCGUGUAUGAAGAAGGCCUUCGGGUUGUAAAGUACUUUCAGUCGUGAGGAAGGUGUUAAGGUUAAUAACCUUAGCAAUUGACGUUAGCGACAGAAGAAGCACCGGCUAACUCCGUGCCAGCAGCCGCGGUAAUACGGAGGGUGCGAGCGUUAAUCGGAAUUACUGGGCGUAAAGGGCACGCAGGCGGUUAAUAAGUUGGAUGUGAAUCCCCGGGCUUAACCUGGGAAUGGCAUUCAAGACUGGUUAGCUAGAGUCUUGUAGAGGGGGUAGAAUUCCAUGUGUAGCGGUGAAAUGCGUAGAGAUGUGGAGGAAUACCGGUGGCGAAGGCGGCCCCUGGACAAAGACUGACGCUCAUGUGCGAAAGCGUGGGGAGCAAACAGGAUUAGAUACC